ACCCUCUCUCUUCCCUUCAUCUCACUUUACCCUCUGGAAAUAAUUCUGAAAGUUUGAAGGAGAUACAAGCUAACUCUGUGCCAUUUAGUUACAAGAAUUCCCUGGUGAGAAGUUCCAAUCUGCAUCAGAAUAAGGAAGGUUAUAUAUCGGGAGAUAAGGAAAAGGAUUUAGGAGAGGAAGGUGAUUGGUGGGGGAUUACGUUUUAAUAUACUCCAGGAUUUAAAAGUGCUAUGAUGGAUGCUAUACGAGCUGAUUUUGGAGAUGGACAACGUCUAAUGGAGCUCAAGCAUAUCCGUAACGAUCUCCAGCUAGCCUUGGUUCUUUACAGUGGGGUUUAUCUCUCUCACUUUACCCUCUGCUAAUAACCUAGCCGCCCCCCUCCCUGCCUUUGAUUUUCCUCCCCUCUCUUAUAGAUUUGGUUCCUUUGGGUUUUAAUUCUCUUGUUGAGUCUGUGCCACAAAUAGAAUUGGAAUAGUAGAUCCAUUCCUUUUCUUUUGUUUUUCAUAUUCCUGAAUUUCUACAACACCCCUGCCAUCUUUUGUGAGAUUUCAUUUCAAUGAUCAGCAUUGCGGUCAAGGUUGUAGGAGAAGCAGAGAGGACCAUUG
rnacentral:lncRNA from 1 species